AGAUUGAACGCUGGCGGCAGGCCUAACACAUGCAAGUCGAGCGGCAGCACGGGUACUUGUACCUGGUGGCGAGCGGCGGACGGGUGAGUAAUGCCUAGGAAUCUGCCUGGUAGUGGGGGAUAACGCUCGGAAACGGACGCUAAUACCGCAUACGUCCUACGGGAGAAAGCAGGGGACCUUCGGGCCUUGCGCUAUCAGAUGAGCCUAGGUCGGAUUAGCUAGUUGGUGAGGUAAUGGCUCACCAAGGCGACGAUCCGUAACUGGUCUGAGAGGAUGAUCAGUCACACUGGAACUGAGACACGGCCCAGACUCCUACGGGAGGCAGCAGUGGGGGAAUUUUGGGACAAGUGGGCG
rnacentral:rRNA from 1 species